GCCCAUUUGUUUCUGGCAGUUCAGUUCAUGUUUUCCACUUGAAGACAUCGCCUCCCUUCCUUCCAGGCUGGGAAACCAGAAGUCGACAGGAGGAGGGUGGAGAGGCUGCAUCUCACAACCCGCUUGGUUGGGGAUUCCGCUGAGGAUUUUGCCUCCUGAAGCAAAGCAUGGAACCCCGGUGGUGACUCCAUGGCCUGACAGUCCUGUGUUUCCUAAUGCACGCCCGAAGUCAGAGACUUUGACUUGGCAGACGCCCUUGAUGAGCCUGUCUCCCCUCCCAGAGCACAGUGCAUCUCCAUUCUCCUAUCGGAGCUGCCAGUGAAGAACCCACCAAGAAGCCAAACUCAGGUACUCAGGAGGCUGAGGCAUGAGAAUCGCUUGAGCUCGGGAGGUGGAGAUUGCAGUGAGCCGAGAUAGCGCCAUUGCACUCCAGGUUAUUUCAAUGAUGGGGACCGCAAUGACUGACACUACCCACCCAGGCCCAGGCCACCUGCAGGUGAAUGUCUACCAAGAAUCUUUCAUAUGGAAAUGCAAGCAUGGACAAUAGGAGGCAGAGAUGCAUGCAACACUGGGCUGAAGAGUGUGACGUUUGAGGCUUUAGUUUCAAGCACAUGAGGUUUCUGGUGUGUUUAGUUCUGCAGCUCUCCUUUAGAAGACAUAAAGGACUUGUCCUAGAUAUUUUGCAGAGCUGGGCAUGUAUCCUUCAGACACCCUGAUUGCAUCCAGUCAUCUAUUCUGCCACGUUUGCUUGCAGUAAAUAAGGAGCAUUGUCUUGGAAUUUAUGACAUUUACAAUCAGGAAUAAACGAAAAAUAACUAGUUAUUUUUGAGAAGAGAAACUAAGAUAUUUGUGAUUGAGACCAUCUUCUGGAAGGUCCUUCUAAUCCUGCCUCCGUGGCUGUUCUCAUAUCGGUUUCUCAGCAGGAAGAGGGUUAGCCUGCAGGAAUUUGGAGUUGGCAGAGUAAGUGUUUGUUCUGUGAUGGCAAAGUGUGUUUUAUAGCCCGAGCUCAGUGUUGGCUUGAGUUUUCCCACAGGGACGAGGAAGCUUUGGUGUGGCCUCCCUUGACUCUCCCCAAUGCUGAUCACUCUUUGGAGCUCUCUUGGGAAUGACACAGUCACUCGACUCCCAAUGAGCUGGACAGACCACCUGCAGGAAAUUCCAUGCUCGGAUCCCUCAACAUCCUUCAACUCUACCUUCUCUAACAGGAGGCGGCAGCGGUGGUUACUCCAGUUAUGACACCGGCGACACACACGUCCAUUUCAGGCUGCUGUCACAGAACACCAUAGACUGGGUGGCUUAGAAACAGCAGACGUUGAUUCUCCCACAGUCCUGGAGGCUGGAGGUCUGAGAUCCAGCCCGGAGUGCAAGGACGUGAUCAUAAAUCACUGCAGCCUCCACCUCCUGGACUCAAGCAAUCCUUCUGCCUCAGCCUCCCAAGUAGCCGAGACUACAGGUGGAGAUCACCAUUUGGGGCAUGCCUCCUCAGAAGGCAAUAUGGCGGCAAAAAUCGUGUCUCCCAUUGUAUCCGUGGUGGUGGUGACACUGCUGGGAGCAGCAGCCAGUUAUUUCAGACUCAACAGUAGGAGG